GCGCCCGUAGCUCAAUCGGAUAGAGCACCGGCCUUCUAAGCCGGCGGUUGCAGGUUCGAUUCCUGCCGGGCGCACCA
rnacentral:tRNA from 1 species